UGGGGAAUAUUGCACAAUGGGCGCAAGCCUGAUGCAGCGACGCCGCGUGAGGGAUGACGGCCUUCGGGUUGUAAACCUCUUUCAGCAGGGAAGAAGCGAAAGUGACGGUACCUGCAGAAGAAGCACCGGCUAACUACGUGCCAGCAGCCGCGGUAAUACGUAGGGUGCGAGCGUUGUCCGGAAUUAUUGGGCGUAAAGAGCUUGUAGGCGGUUUGUCGCGUCUGCUGUGAAAAUCCGGGGCUCAACCCCGGACUUGCAGUGGGUACGGGCAGACUAGAGUGUGGUAGGGGAGACUGGAAUUCCUGGUGUAGCGGUGAAAUGCGCAGAUAUCAGGAGGAACACCGAUGGCGAAGGCAGGUCUCUGGGCCACUACUGACGCUGAGAAGCGAAAGCAUGGGGAGCGAACAGGAUUAGAUACCCUGGUAGUCCAUGCCGUAAACGUUGGGAACUAGGUGUGGGUCUCAUUCCACGAGAUCCGUGCCGCAGCUAACGCAUUAAGUUUCCACGCCUGGGGAGUACGGCCGCAAGGCUA
rnacentral:rRNA from 1 species